ACGCUACUACGGCUUACACCUGCAGGUUUGCAAGGGGCAGCAUAUUAAUAGCUCGCUAUUAUUGAUGGCGACCGGCGCACGGGUGAGUAACACGUAUCCAACCUACCAUUUCACUCGGGGGAUAGCCUUUCGAAAGAAAGAUAUAAUACCCGAUAGUAUAACGAGUUCGCAUGUCUUGUUAUAAAGAAUUUCGGUGUUGAUGGGGAUGCGUAUACAUUAGAAUUGUUGGUGAGGUAACGGUCACCAAGGCUACGAUACAUACGGGGACUGAGAAGUUUACACCCCCAAACUGGUACUGACACACGGACCAAGACUCCUACGGGACGCACGCAGUAGAAGAAUAUUUGGUCAAUGAGACGCCAAGUCAUGAACCAGCCCAUGACCGACAUUGCAGAGAUGACGGCUCUAUGAGUUGUAAAACUUGCUUUUAUACAGACGGUAAACCCACGGAUACGUGUACCGGGGCUGCACAGUCAUCGUAUGAAUCAAGAGGAUCGGCUAACUCCGUGCCAGCAGCCGCGGUAAUACGGAGGAUUCAAGCGUUAUCCGGAUUUAUUGGGUUUAAAGGGUGCGUAGGCGGUUUGAUAAGUUAGAGGUGAAAUUUCGGGGC
rnacentral:rRNA from 1 species